rnacentral:lncRNA from 1 species
CAUUUGCAGCCAGAAACCCGGUGGCACUGGGCAGGGGGAGCGGGCGGGGGAAUCCGAGCCCAUUUCCCGUGUGGUGGGAUCACACGAAGUCUGGCGUGCAGAUCGGAAGCGGGAGAAAGGACCAGAAGAGUAACCUUUUGAGUAGACACCUACCGUAGCAAAUUGCCUCAUGCUCAUGGUAUCCUCAUGGGAAUUGAGACCUGCCUUCAAAUCAGAUUCUGCCUGCGUCAGGCUCAGGAAUGCUCCUGCUGCUGUCUGACAGCUCACCGAGGGACUAUUCUGGUGUGGGAGACUCUGCCCUCCGUGGCUGGAGCUGCUCCACUGGAAGGGACGAAGAACAUCUCUAGAAAUGCCCCUGGGCCAUGUGUUGAGCCUAAUAUCAGUCACUUGCCAUCAUGGCGAGGGCUAAUGAGAGGCCAUUGUGCCUGGCACAUUGUAUUUGAGUUUGCCACAAAGAGGAG